rnacentral:rRNA from 1 species
GUGAGGAAUUUUCCGCAAUGGGCGAAAGCCUGACGGAGCAAUGCCGCGUGAAGGAUGAAGGCCUAUGGGUUGUAAACUUCUUUUCUCAGAAAAGAAUUAUGACGGUAUCUGAGGAAUAAGCAUCGGCUAACUCUGUGCCAGCAGCCGCGGUAAGACAGAGGAUGCAAGCGUUAUCCGGAAUGAUUGGGUGUAAAGCGUCUGUAGGUUGUUUAAAAAGUAUUCUGUCAAAGAUUAGGGCUUAACCCUAGAUAGGCAGAAUAAACUUUUAAGCUAGAGUUUGGUAGAGGCAGAGGGAAUUCCCGGUGGAGCGGUGAAAUGCGUAGAUAUCGGGAGGAACACCAAAGGCGAAGGCACUCUGCUGGGCCAAUACUAACACUGAGAGACGAAAGCGAGGGGAGCAAAUGGGAUUAGAUACCCGGGUAGUCC